rnacentral:rRNA from 1 species
UACGUAGGCAGCGAGCGUUGUUCGGAGUUACUGGGCGUAAAGAGUGCGUAGGCGGUUUUCUAAGUUUGGUGUGAAAUCUCCCGGCUUAACUGGGAGGGUGCGCCGAAGACUGGAAGGCUUGAGUAUGGGAGAGGUAAGCGGAAUUCCUGGUGUAGCGGUGAAAUGCGUAGAUAUCAGGAGGAACACCGGUGGCGAAGGCGGCCCACUGGAUCGGUACUGACGCUGAGGUGCGAAAGCGUGGGGAGCAAACAGG